rnacentral:rRNA from 1 species
AUUGAACGCUGGCGGCAGGCCUAACACAUGCAAGUCGAACGGUAACAGGAAGAAGCUUGCUUCUUUGCUGACGAGUGGCGGACGGGUGAGUAAUGUCUGGGAAACUGCCUGAUGGAGGGGGAUAACUACUGGAAACGGUAGCUAAUACCGCAUAACGUCGCAAGACCAAAGAGGGGGACCUUCGGGCCUCUUGCCAUCGGAUGUGCCCAGAUGGGAUUAGCUAGUAGGUGGGGUAACGGCUCACCUAGGCGACGAUCCCUAGCUGGUCUGAGAGGAUGACCGGCCACACUGGAACUGAGACACGGUCCAGACUCCUACGGGAGGCAGCAGUGGGGAAUAUUGCACAAUGGGCGCAAGCCUGAUGCAGCCAUGCCGCGUGUAUGGAGAAGGCCUUCGGGUUGUAAAGUACUUUCAGCGGGGAGGAAGGGAGUAAAGUUAAUACCUUUGCUCAUUGACGUUACCCGCAGAAGAAGCACCGGCUAACUCCAUG